UAAGGGCGUUUGGUGGAUGCCUUGGCGGUAAGAGGCGAUGAAGGACGUGGCACGCUGCGUUAAGUCCCGGGGAGUUGCGAGCAAACUUUGAUCCGGGAAUAUCCGAAUGGGGAAACCCACCUUUACAGACCCUGGCGGUCGCUCGUCCGAGUAAUCGGACGAUCGGUCACCAGAGUUUGUGAGAGGUAUCUAAACCUGAAUACAUAGGGUUUUAGAAGCGAACCCGGGGAACUGAAACAUCUCAGUACCUGGAGGAAAGGACAUCAAUUGAGACUCCCUCAGUAGCGGCGAGCGAACGGGGACCAGGCCAACGUCUCUCUCUGCAUCAGCGGAACAGUCUGGAAAGGCUGGCCAUAGUGGGUGAUAGCCCCGUACGUUAAAAUAAAGAGAGAGAAUUCGAGUAGGGCGGGACACGUGAAAUCCUGUCUGAACAUGGGGGGACCACCCUCCAAGCCUAAGUACUCCUUACCGACCGAUAGCGAACCAGUACCGUGAGGGAAAGGUGAAAAGCACCCCAAUGAGGGGAGUGAAACAGACCCUGAAACCGGACGCCUACAAGCAGUUGGAGCCCCCUUGCGGGGUGACAGCGUACCUUUUGUAUAAUGGGUCAGCGACUUAGUCUCUCGAGCAAGCUUAAGCCGAUAGGUGUAGGCGUAGCGAAAGCGAGUCUGAAUAGGGCGAUUUAGUUCGAGGGAUUAGACCCGAAACCGAGUGAUCUAGCCAUGUGCAGGCUGAAGGUGAGGUAACACUCACUGGAGGGCCGAACCCACGUCUGUUGAAAAAGACGGGGAUGACGUGUGGCUAGGGGUGAAAGGCCAAUCAAACUCGGAAAUAGCUGGUUCUCCGCGAAAUCUAUUUAGGUAGAGCGUCGUGUAUUACCCUCGGGGGUAGAGCACUGGAUGGGCUAGGGGGCCUCACCGGCUUACCAAACCUAACCAAACUCCGAAUACCGGGGAGUACAGCACGGCAGACACACUACGGGUGCUAAGGUCCGUAGUGGAGAGGGAAACAGCCCUGACCGCCAGCUAAGGUCCCAAAGUCAUGGCUAAGUGGGAAACGAUGUGGGAAUGCUUAGACAACCAGGAGGUUGGCUUAGAAGCAGCCAUCCUUUAAAGAAAGCGUAACAGCUCACUGGUCAAGCGUUCCUGCGCGGAAAAUGUAACGGGGCUUAAGCCAUGCACCGAAGCUGCGGACUCGAAAGAGUGGUAGCGGAGCGUUCUGUAGGCCUGUGAAGGGUUGCCGCAAGGUUGCCUGGAGGUAUCAGAAGUGAGAAUGCUGACAUGAGUAGCGAUAAAGGGAGUGAGAGACUCCCUCGCCGAAAGUCCAAGGGUUCCUGCGCAAUGCUAAUCAGCGCAGGGUAAGCCGGCCCCUAAGGCGAGGCCGAAAGGCGUAGUCGAUGGGAAUCAGGUUAAUAUUCCUGAGCCAGCGGAUAGUGACGGAUACUGGAAAUUGUCUACCCUUAUUGGAUUGGGUGGGCAGUGAAGGUGUUCCUGGAAAUAGCUUCCGCAUUGAGACCGUACCCCAAACCGACACAGGUGGACUGGUAGAGCAUACCAAGGCGCUUGAGAGAACUCUGUUGAAGGAACUCGGCAAAUUACUCCCGUAAGUUCGCGAGAAGGGAGCCUGGCGCUGCGCAAGCAGUGUCCAGGGGCACAGACCAGGGGGUGGCGACUGUUUACUAAAAACACAGGGCUCUGCGAAGUCGCAAGACGACGUAUAGGGUCUGACGCCUGCCCGGUGCCGGAA
rnacentral:rRNA from 1 species